rnacentral:rRNA from 1 species
GACGUAGGGCGCGAGCGUUGUCCGGAUUUAUUGGGCGUAAGGAGCUCGUAGGCGGUUUGUCGCGUCGUUCGUGAAAACUCACAGCUUAACUGUGAGCUUGCGGUCGAUACGGGCAGGCUAGAGUUCGGUAGGGGAGGCUGGAAUUCCUGGUGUAGCGGUGAAAUGCGCAGAUAUCAGGAGGAACACCGGUGGCGAAGGCGGGUCUCUGGGCCGAUACUGACGCUGAGGAGCGAAAGCGUGGGGAGCGAACAGG